UACGUAGGGGGCGAGCGUUGUCCGGAUUUAUUGGGCGUAAAGAGCGUGUAGGCGGUUUGGUAGGUCCGCUGUGAAAACUCGAGGCUCAACCUCGAGACGCCGGUGGAAACCAUCAGACUAGAGUCCGGAAGAGGAGAGUGGAAUUCCUGGUGUAGCGGUGAAAUGCGCAGAUAUCAGGAGGAACACCGGUGGCGAAGGCGGGUCUCUGGGCCGUAACUGACGCUGAGGAGCGAAAGCGUGGGGAGCGAACAGG
rnacentral:rRNA from 1 species